AUUGAACGCUGGCGGCAGGCCUAACACAUGCAAGUCGAGCGGAGCGGCGGACGGGUGAGUAUUGUCUAGGAAUCUGCCUGGUCGUGGGGGAUAACGUCCGGAAACGGGCGCUAAUACCGCAUACUAGCAGCUGAGUAUAUAUCGGCUUAGCUAGUUGGUGGGGUAAAGGCCUACCAAGGCGACGAUCCGUAACUGGACUGAGAGGAUGAUCAGUCACACUGGACCUGAGAAACGGUCCAGACUCCUACGGGCGGCAGCAGUGGGGAAUAUUCGACAAGGGGCGAAAGCCUGAUCCAGCCAUGCCGCGUGUGUGAAGAAGGUCUUCGGAUUGUAAAGCACUUUAAGUUGGGAGGCGUUACCAGCAGAAUAAGCACCGGCUAACUUCGUGCCAGCAGCCGCGGUAAUAC
rnacentral:rRNA from 1 species